AUUGAACGCUGGCGGCAGGCUUAACACAUGCAAGUCGAGCGAGCGGCGGACGGGUGAGUAAUGUCUGGGAAACUGCCUGCUUGAGGGGGAUAACUACUGGAAACGGUAGCUAAUACCGCAUACCAUCAGAUGUGCCCAGAUGGGAUUAGCUAGUAGGUUGGGUAAAGGCUCACCGAGGCGACGAUCCCUAGCUGGUCUUAGAGGAUGACAAGCCACACGGGAACUGAGAAACGGGCCAGACUCCUACGGGAGGCAGCAGUGGGGAAUAUGGCACAAUGGGCGCAAGGCUGAUGCAGCCAGGCCGCGUGUAUGAAGAAGGCCUUAGGGUUGUAAAGUACUUUCAGCGGGGAGGCGGUACCCGCAGAAGAAGCACCGGCUAACUCCGUGCCAGCAGCCGCGGUAAUUC
rnacentral:rRNA from 1 species